rnacentral:rRNA from 1 species
CAGUCUUACCACUCUGAACAUGUCUGAUCUCUUCUGAUCUUGGAAGCUAAGCAGGCUUAGUACUUGGAUACUGGGAGGCAUGGGAGGCAUAUAAUAAUUACUGC